rnacentral:lncRNA from 1 species
AUGGGUUCGGUGAAGGCAGUCUGCUUGACCAAUCUGAUCUCCUUCUACGAUCCUGUGACCCAUCUGAUGGAUGAAGGAAAGAAAGAAAGGCUGUUGAUGUGCUCUACUUGGACUUCAGCAAAGCCUUCACAACUGUCUCCCAUGCUAUUCUCCUACAAAAGCUGGCAGCCCUUUUCAAAUCCAGAGGCGGCUCCCGGGCGGCUCCAACCCCAGAACGAAGAGGAGGAGGGUGCCCGCCAUAACCAUCAAAUGGAGGAGGGGGAAAGGAGCCCGUUUCCAUCAUGCCUGGACCAGCCCUGUGACCACCACCCAUGUGGAGCCUAUGGAGGUGGAUCCACCUCCAGAGGAACCGAUGGAGGUGGAUCCCCCUCCAGAGGAGCCCAUGGACGUGGAUCCGCCCGCGGCAUAGCUGGCCUGGCACCACACCACCGUGCCAGGCCCCGCGUUGGCAUGGUCACAGCUUCACCAUCGCUGGUCCAGGCACUCGGCUCCUUUCCUGCUGCGUGGCCCCUGCCCCCAGCAUGAGCUGGGUGGCAUUAUUUAACAUCUUCUUCUCCUCCACCUCGUUGCUCCUCCGGUUCUGUGGGCCCCCAGUUCCUUCUUCCCCCUGUUGUAGUUAGGUGUUUGCUCUGUUCUUUGUUUUGAUGGUUGUGUUAGGUUAGUGUUAGUGUUCAGUUUAGUUUUAGCGUAGGGAUAGGUUCCUGUUUGUUCUUUAGAGUUAGGCAUAGGUUCCUGUUUGUUCUUUAGAGUUAGGUAUAGGUUUUUGUUGUUAUUUUAGAGUUAGGUAUAGGUUUCUGUUGUUAUUUUAGAGUUAGGCAUAGGUUAGUGUUCGUACUUGCAGUCAGGCAUUGGCUGUUACACUCAAGUAAAAGUAACCGCUGCUCCUUGGGUAAGCAUGCAGCUGGUUGCUCACCCCGAGCAAUGAGUGCGACUGCCCUGACAGUUUGAUGACAUCUGCGAUGAAUGGGAUUUGCAUCCGGUGACUUUUCCUUUGCAGAAUGUCCAGCAGCAGAGCGUGAGUGGCCUGAGAAAUGGAGCUGGGACUCAGGAGAGCAACACGUGGCUGUGUCCCAGAGCUCCCAAAGUGUGGCCAUUGCAAGGUAGGAGUGCCUUACCGAAAGCGUUGUUCAAGCACAGCUCCUGGCACUGUCUGCAACAGAUCCGCUCUCUGCGUGCUUUCUUUCAGUCGCUGGUGUUGUGCAGCACAGCCACGGCACGGCCCUCAGUGCGUACGCGAGGAGCGUGAAAAGGUAGGUGGUGAAUUUUCAUCUUGCUAACGCUAGGAUUAGGAAUGGUGAGCAUUCCUAAAAGAGUGGCCACAAAGGUGUGAUCUGCCUCGGGGAGAAGUUGAUUCUCGCCUCUUCAGCUUUUCCCUUCUUUUCUGUCCACCUGUCCUUUCCAGCUCCUCCUCCCCUCAGCUGCAAGUGGGGCAGUGCUCGAGUGUGAGGACUCUUCCUUGGCAUGCGGUAACAGACAAUGCAGAUGUGACUUUUGUGUCCUUCCUUGUUCUUGGGUUCGUAGCCCA